GAGGCCAGGCGGGGCCUUCCUGGAUCAGGAGUGGGGACCAGGCAGUUCGGAAAUAGCGACCUGCAGGGUCCGCAGGGGCUUCUGCUGGGGCUGCCCCGGGGGAGUCCUGAGCCUCAGCCGCCCCUACGCCUCGUCAGAGCCCCAGAAUGAGGGUCAGCAGGAACGUGCAGGCUCCUAGAAAGUCCUGUGGAAGACGCCUGUCUGUUCUGCUUGCUGAUCGCCGGUCUCCAGGGCCAAGGAGGGGUGCCUGGCUCCUUUGUAAGAGAAUGAAGGGAUCCGGAAGGAGAGGCGGCCUGCUGAACCAUCAACUAGCCGGAUUUCUCACCUUUCCAUUCCGAGGAGGUGUUGUCAUCAACCUUUAGAGAGAAACUGGAUUGAUUUGGGGGGUAAGGAAGUUCAUUCUCCCUGGCUUUAUAUAUAUUUUCCAACCCACUGCUAAAUGUUAGUGGUCUUUAGUGUCUUUAUGUGAUGUAUACCACUUGUCAGUAUUUAUUUAAUGUAACCUAUGUCAUUUAAAGAAGGUUAAAUUAUAGGGUAACUAGAGAGUGACAAUAAUAUAAUUUAAGCACUAUCAUUUAGAGGAAGAUUUCCACCCUAAAAUUUGGUUAAAAUACAUUUGAGACAGACACUGUUAAAUUCAUUGCACAAAUUUUACUUUGUGACAGCUCCAACAUAGUCUGUUGUAUUUAAUAAGAAUUCCUGCCCAUAAAAGAAGAUUUAAUGACAUUAA